CAGUCGCCGCGGUAAUACGAAGGGUGCAAGCGUUAAUCGGAAUUACUAGGCGUAAAGCGUGCGUAGGCGGUGAGUUAAGUCUGCUGUGAAAUCCCCGGGCUCAACCUGGGAAUGGCGGUGGAUACUGGCUCGCUAGAGUGUGUCAGAGGAUGGUGGAAUUCCACGUGUAGCAGUGAAAUGCGUAGAGAUGUGGAGGAACACCGAUGGCGAAGGCAGCCCCCUGGGCCAAUACUGACGCUCACGCACGAAAGCGUGGGGAGCAAACAGGAUUAGAUACCCCAGUAGUCCCUGUCUCUUAUAC
rnacentral:rRNA from 1 species